AGGUGUCGCAACGAUUCAUCGAUACGUGUGACAUGAUGCUGGAAAUCACGCACAGAACGAGCAGUAUGGCUGGUGGCAUUAUCAUGCUGGAGGGUCAUAUCAGGAUGAGCCUGCAGGAAGGUUACCACAUGAGGGAGGAGGAUGUCUUCCCUGAAACGCACAGCGUUGAGAUUGCCUGCAAUGACAACAAGCUGAGUCCGAUGAUGCUGUGACACACUGCCCCAGACCAUGACGGACCCUCCACCUCCAAAUCGAUCCCGCUCCAGAGUGUUGUUACAUUUACAUUUACAUUUAAGUCAUUUAGCAGACGCUCUUAUCCAGAGCGACUUACAAAUUGGUGCAUACACCUUAUGACAACCAGUGGAACAGCCACUUGCAUCUAAAUGUGGUCUGCCACUGCAAGGACUAUCAGCUGUACGUCCUGUCUCCCUGUAGCGCUGUCUUAAGCGUCUCACAGUACAGACAUUGCAAUUUAUUGCCCUGGCCACAUCUCCAGUCCUCAUGCCUCCUUGUGGCAUGCCUAAGGCAUGUUCACGCAGAUGAACAGGGACGCUGGGCGUCUUUCUUUUGAUGUUUUUCAGAGUCGGUAGAAAGCCCUCUUUAGUGUCCUAAGCUUCCAUAACUGUGACCUUAAUUGCCUUCCGUCUGUAAGCUGUUAGUGUCUUAAUGACUGUUCCACAGGUGCAUGUUCAUUAAUUGUUUAUGGUUCAUUAAUUGUUUAUGGUUCAUUGAACAAGCAAGGGAAACAGGGUUUAAACCCUUUACAAUAAAGAUCUGUGAAGUUAUUUGGAUUUUUACGAAUUCUAUUUAAAAGAAGGGGACUUUUUUUUUUUGGCUGAGUUUGUUGAAAAUGGAUGGAUCGUUGGGAUCAUUCCAUAUUCCCUUUUGUUGUUCCAUGAAAUCAUCACAUGUGAAUAGUCAACUCAUUUCAUUAAAGUUCAAUUUGUAACUAAA